UCCGCCAGGAAACUACGAGCAAGGCUUGAAACCCAAAGGACUUGGCGGUGUCUCAGAUCCCCCUAGAGGAGCCUGUUCUAGAACCGAUAAUCCCCGUUCAACCUCUCCUUCUCUUGUUUAUUCUGCCUAUAUACCACCGUCGCCAGCUUACCCCUCAAGGGCAUCAUAGAAAGCAAAACGGGCACAACCCAGAACGUCAGGUCGAGGUGUAGCAUAUGAGAAGGUAAUAAUGGGCUACAUUUCCUAACCCAGGAUACUACAGACGACACUGUGAAAUCAGUGCCCCAAGGUGGAUUUAGUAGUAAGAAAAGAACAGAGCGCUUCUCUGAAACUGGCCCUGAGAUGCGUACACACC
rnacentral:rRNA from 1 species